rnacentral:tRNA from 2 species
GGCCCCUUCGUCUAGUGGCCUAGGACUCCGGCUUUUCACGCCGGCAACAGGGGUUCGAGUCCCCUAGGGGUCA